rnacentral:rRNA from 1 species
GUAGGUGGCAAGCGUUGUCCGGAAUUAUUGGGCGUAAAGCGCGCGCAGGUGGUUCUUUAAGUCUGAUGUGAAAGACCCCCGGGCUCAACCCGGGGAGGGUCAUUGGAAACUGGGGAACUCGAGUGCAGGAGAGGAAAGUGGAAUUCCACGUGUAGCGGUGAAAUGCGUAGAUAUGUGGAGGAACACCAGUGGCGAAGGCGACUUUCUGGCCUGUAACUGACACUGAGGCGCGAAAGCGUGGGGAGCAAACAGGAUUAGAUACCCUGGUAGUCCACGCCGUAAACGAUGAGUGCUAAGUGUUGGGGGGUUUCCGCCCCUCAGUGCUGCAGCUAACGCAUUAAGCACUCCGCCUGGGGAGUACGGUCGCAAAGACUG